GACCGCAACACUCAGCAGAUUUUCUACAACCUGAAUUUCAGAGUGAACAGAUUAAAGACUAAUUACAUAAAAUGGCGGGCUGUGGAUUCUUAUGGUGUUUAGUAUGGCUUGUCAUCCUUAUUUGCAUCGCUUAUCCAAUCGGAUUUUUCUGUGCUCCCAUCUACGUUUUAGUGAGCCCGCUUGCCGCCUGUUGCAGUGGAUUUAUUGGGCUUAUCAACUUUAUAGAAAGGGGACUGAAAUUGCCCUUAACCUGUGCCGAGAAUAUGGUUGCAGCAAAGCCCCUGUGUUAAAUUAAAGACUUUCCCAUCAACGGUAACUUAUCGUGCUAUUUAAAAUCUGACUUUAGGUAUAGUUUGUGUUUACUCCAUAGUCUUUUUGGCAGCCAUCUUGGAUUUUUUACAUUAGGAAAGCGUUUCCAUAGUAUCGGGCAUCAGUACGAAAGGCCUAAAAAUAUUAAUUUGGAUAUAAAAACUGUAUAUUAACAUUAUAGCGCAGUUUUAUAUGGUCGUUAAAUUUGUUACUUAGAAUUAUAUUGUUUACGUCCGCUCAACAUAGAUAGAUAGUUUCUGGGAACGUUGGUCUUUAGAGUCAUCUGUGAAUAUAUGACUAAAAUAAUUUAUAUAACGUUUCAAGCCAGAAAAAAGAUCUGCAUUGGGCAUAAUGUCUCUUCAAUUUAAAAUAAACUAGAGGUCACGGGUUCGCGGAGAAAAUUCCUGCAAACAACAUUGAUUAGUCGUUCGGAUGGUUUAACAAAUGGAGGUUGGAAUUUGACGGAGAAUAGGCGGAAACGCCGCUGUUCUGGCAAAAUUCACCCUAUAGCACACAAUAUGGGGUAUGCCCGUUUGGCACAGAAAGGCGGGAUGUUAAACACGAUUAAUUUCUUUUCCGUGGGACAAUGGCAGAAAACCAAAUAUUUUUUAGAUUACCUUAUUAGAGAUUUAUGUUUGUAGAUUGCCAAAAAAAAAAAAUAUUUGUAUAAUGUCACCCAGCUAUAUGAUAGCGCUAGGGGUAAUUGGGCUAGGGGCAUUAAUAAUUUGUUAUUUAUAUAUUUUUUAUAUGCUUUGAUAAGACAAUCUAUUCGUAAUAAGAUGUUACAAAAUUACAAAAGAUAAAGACGGGCUGAUGUAAUCUUACCUCAAAUAAAUGUGUUAUAUGGCAGGGUUCCAAUUUAUAUUUUUCACCUAUUCAUUAUACUAUAAAUAUUAUAUAUUAUCUAAUGUAAAAUGUAUGUGAAUCUAUGUAUUUGUGCAAUAUUCUCCUGGUUUUAUAUUAUUAAGUCGAGUAACCCCUGUAUUGUUGGUUUUAUAUAUCAUUACACAUCUCUCACUAGAGGAGAUGGGGGGGGGGCGAAUAGUUUAACGCUUGUGCGUUAGAUAAUAAGGUCUAUUAUUGUGUCAAAUGGCGUGGUUCACCUGCCCAACCUCGUAGGUGUUCUCCAGGUCACCCCACAGAUAAAGACCCCACUGAAGACCCCUACGCACAAGCGCAGUUGCUCAAAUAAAAUUAAACCUUAUGUUAGUCUCGAAAUGACCUCGUUUGUGCCGGGUGAUAUCUCUCUCUCUCUCUCUCUCUCAUCACUCACAAAUCAAUGGCAGUAUAUUAUGUCCAACUUUAUUCAACUGUGUAAAUUGUAUGUAUGGUCUUUGUAUCUUUGGACUUUAAACGUAAAUAAACUACUACCAAGAGAA